GAUGAACGCUGGCGGCGUGCUUAACACAUGCAAGUCGAACGGAAAGGCUCCUGCUUGCCGGGGUACUCGAGUGGCGAACGGGUGAGUAACACGUGGGUGAUCUGCCCUGCACUUCGGGAUAAGCCUGGGAAACUGGGUCUCAUACCGGAUAGGACAAUGGUUUGGAUGCCAUUGUGGAAAGUUUUUCGGUGUUGGAUGAGCUCGCGGCCUAUCAGCUUGUUGGUGGGGUAAUGGCCUACCAAGGCGUCGACGGGUAGCCGGCCUGGGAGGGUGUACGGCCUCCUUGGGACUGAGAUACGGCCCAGACUCCUACGGGAGGCAGCAGUGGGGAAUAUUGCACAAUGGGCGCAAGCCUGAUGCAGCGACGCCGCGUGGGGGAUGACGGCCUUCGGGUUGUAAACUCCUUUCGCUAGGGACGAAGCGCAAGUGACGGUACCUGGAGAAGAAGCACCGGCUAACUACGUG
rnacentral:rRNA from 1 species